rnacentral:tRNA from 1 species
AAACUUAGGUUAAACGCAAACCCGGGACCUUCAAAGCCCCAAACAAGCCACCUUGCUUAGUUUCUG